rnacentral:rRNA from 1 species
UACUAGAGUAGCACUCGCAUAUCAAUAAGCGGAGGAAAAGAAACUAACAAGGAUUCCCCUAGUAACGGCGAGUGAAGCGGGAAGAGCUCAAAUUUGAAAUCUUAAAGGGUUUCCCUUUACGAAUUGUAGUUUAAAGAAGUGUUUUCUGUUGAGGUUUUGGUAAAAGUUCUUUGGAAUAGGACAUCAUAGAGGGUGAGAAUCCCGUAUUUGACCUUUACUUUCAACUUUGUGAUACACUUUCAAAGAGGUCGGAUUGUUUGGGAAUGCAGUCCAAAAUGGGUGGUAAAUUUCAUCUAAAGCUAAAUAUUGGCGAGAGACCGAUAGCGAACAAGUACCGUGAGGGAAAGAUGAAAAGAACUUUGAAAAGAGAGUUAAACAGUACGUGAAAUUGUCAAAAGGGAAGCGUUUGACACCAGUGUUGUUUUUCUGAAAAUCAAUUAAAGAACUGUUUAUGCUAAGUUGUUUAGACUUUAUCAGCUAACUGUUUAGUUUUGAGCUUUUCUUUAAUGCACUUUUCAGUUAACAAGUCAACAUCAAUUUCUUUUGCUGUAAAAAAGCUUGAGGAAGGUGGCUUGAGAUUCGUCUUAAGUGUUUAUAGCCUCUUGCCUAUGCAGUCGGAGAGAUUGAGGUCUGCAGCGUAGAUCCUUCGGGGCUAAAUGCAUUUGUGCUAAGUUAUAGCAUUUUAUAGACAACUUGUUGACUAUGAUUUGUCUUGUAGCUUACUCGCUUAUGUUAUUUUACCUACGCUUAGGAUGUUGAGCGCAUGUCUCUCUCU